GCCGGUGGCGGGGGUCGCGAGAGGCGUCAGGAUCCCUGGCGCCGCCUGAGCCAGCGGCUGCUAGGAGGCUGUGUCCGCAAGCCAGCGGGGCGAGGCACCUGGGGCCUGCGCGUCAGGUCCCGGCCUGGGGCACCGGGGCUGCCAGCGUCGGAGGAGGCCUGAGACCUGGGAGGAAGCUGGAGAAAAGAUGCCCUCUGAAUCUUUGUGUUUGGCUGCCCAGGCUCGCCUUGACACCGAAUGGUUGAAAACAGAUAUACAGAUGAUAGUGUCGAACCAAGUGAAACAAAGAAAGAAGAUCUGAAUGACAAAGAGAAAAAAGAUGAAGACGAAACUCCUGCACCUGUAUAUAGGGCCAAGUCAAUUCUGGAGACCUGGGCGUGGGGCAAGCAACCAGGUGACAGAGCCCUCAAGGGGACAGAGCCCAUGCUCAUAACCAGAAGGAGCCCUGGCAUUCCCUGGACGUGAAGCACUAUUUGUCCAUUCAGCAAGAAUUACUCAACCCCUAUCUGCCAACCCAGAGGCCCAGUGAUGAACAGGACCAAUCCAGUUCUUGCCCCCAUGAGGCCUUCAUUUUGAUGGAACAAUCAGGCUCAAGAACCUCUUAAGGAGUUGCUAAGAGGUUCCUGAAUGAGUGGGCCCAAUUAACUGCAGUCAAGUCUGCUGUGCUGAGGCCUGGCAAAUCAGAAUUUCUGGAUCAAUUUGGAAACUAAGACUAGAAAAGAUCUGUGUUUCGUCAUCUGGAACCCAGGGAGAGGGUGAGGCACGUGGAGUUCCUUGACCCCUCAUCUUGCUGAAGCAGCAAGCAUGGCUAUUUAGAGCCUGUCUGCUUUGCACAUCCCAUGAGAGUGCAGUCAACAUCUGCUAGCCAUAGAUAAGACAAACUCUGUGGUUAUAAAAGACCCAAACUUCUGCUGUUCUAAGAGCUCCAUGACCCGGAGACGCCCCACCUCACUGCUGAGCAACAUCUUCCCUGCCCAAGUGCCACUCAA
rnacentral:lncRNA from 1 species